CCUACGGGUGGCUGCAGUGGGGGAUAUUGCACAAUGGGGGAAACCCUGAUGCAGCGAUGCCGCGUGAAUGAAGACGGCCUUCGGGUUGUAAAGUUCUGUCGCAGGGGACGAAAAUGACGGUACCCUGCCAGACAGCUCCGGCUAACUACGUGCCAGCAGCCGCGGUACUACGUAGGGAGCAAGCGUUGUCCGGAAUUACGGGGUGUAAAGGGAGCGUAGGCGGGAGGAUAAGUUGAAGGUGAAAUCUAUGGGCCAAACCCAUAGCUGCGUUCAAUACUGUUCGUAUUGAGUGAAGUAGAGGCAGGCGGAAUUCGUGGUGUAGCGGUGAAAUGCGUAGAUAUUAGGAAGAACACCAGUGGCGAAGGCAGCCUGCUGGGCUUUUACUGACGCUGAGGCUCGAAAGCGUGGGUAGCAAACAGGAUUAGAUACCCCUGUAGUC
rnacentral:rRNA from 1 species